GGGCGGGGCCCAGCUCCUCCCCUGCAGCCGAGCAACGCAGCAGGCUCCGCGGUCCUGCGCUCGCGCCCGCCCCACCAGGAGCGGUCUGGGAUUGGGGGAGCACAUUCCUCAAAUAGAAGAACACCUAUUUAGGGCCAGCCACAGUGCUUGGGGACACAUGGAAAUAGGAAAAAGCUUCCACUUAGAGGAUCUCCCAGUCAUUCCGGUGGAUGAGCAGAUAUGAAAACAGCUUAUAUACUUUGAUGAAUCAAGCUGUCAUUUAGAGAGCCUCGUGGGAAGGACUGAGAGAGGUGUCUAGCCAACAGCCACUGGGCAACUGAAUCCUACCAACAACCAUGUAAAUGGGCUGGGAAGCAAAUCUUUCUCAGGCUUGAGAUGACCACAGCCCCGGUCGGCACCUUGAUUAUAGCCUGUGAGUCCCUGAAGCAGAACCAGCUAAGUCAGCCCAGAUUCCCAACCCACAGAAACUCUGAGGUAAUAAAUGUUUAAAGCCACUA
rnacentral:lncRNA from 10 species